UACGGAGGGUGCAAGCGUUAUCCGGAAUCAUUGGGUUUAAAGGGUCCGCAGGCGGACGUAUAAGUCAGUGGUGAAAUCCUGCAGCUUAACUGCAGAACUGCCAUUGAUACUGUACGUCUUGAAUUCGGUCGAAGUGGGCGGAAUGUGUAGUGUAGCGGUGAAAUGCAUAGAUAUUACACAGAACACCGAUAGCGAAGGCAGCUCACUAGGCCUGGAUUGACGCUCAGGGACGAAAGCGUGGGGAUCAAACAGG
rnacentral:rRNA from 1 species